rnacentral:rRNA from 1 species
UGGGGAAUAUUGCACAAUGGGGGAAACCCUGAUGCAGCGACGCCGCGUGAACGAAGAAGGUAUUCGUAUCGUAAAGUUCUGUCCUAUGGGAAGAUAAUGACAGUACCAUAAAAGAAAGCUCCGGCUAAAUACGUGCCAGCAGCCGCGGUAAUACGUAUGGAGCGAGCGUUGUCCGGAAUUAUUGGGCGUAAAGGGUACGCAGGAGGUUUAAUAAGUCGAAUGUUAAAGAUCGGGGCUCAACCCCGCAAAGCAUUGGAAACUGAUAAACUUGAGUAGUGGAGAGGAAAGUGGAAUUCCUAGUGUAGUGGUGAAAUGCGUAGAUAUUAGGAGGAAUACCAGUAGCGAAGGCGACUUUCUGGACACAAACUGACGCUGAGGUACGAAAGCGUGGGGAGCAAACAGG